AUACUUACCUGGCAGGGAUGAUUUCAUGAUUAGGAAGUUGGUUUCCCCAGGGUGAGGUUCACCCAUUGUACUGUGGGUGUGCUGACCCCCUGCGAUUUCCCCAAAUGUGGAAAACUUGACUGCAUAAUUUAUUUAUUUUUUUAUUAAUAUCUUCGUUUAAAU